rnacentral:lncRNA from 1 species
CUCUCUUGGCUUUGGAGCUCCCCAUUCCUCUGUGUCUGUAACAGGGGAGCUUCUUCCUUCUUUCUUCUCCCUUCUUUCUUGCCUGUUAAACUCUCUGCUUCUUAAAACCACUCCAUGUAUGUCCAGGUCAUUUUAUCUAAUUUGGAGACGGAGAACCCUGGUGUUCCUCUGCUCAUCAGAGCCGUCUCACCUGCAAGGGCCAGGAUCCAGCACUAGGGCUGCCCUUUAUGUUCAUGCAGCCUCCACUAGGAAGAUCCUCCUUAGCUGCCACCUGCUGUAAAGGGAUCUAUCUAUCUAUCUGUCUAUCUAUCUAUCUAUCUAUCUUUCUAUCUACCUGUCGAGAGAGAGAGAGGUUUAUUAUAAGGAAUUGACUCAUGUGAUUAUGGAGGCUGAGAAGUUCCACAGUCUGCUGUCUGCAAGCUGGAGACCCAGGAAGGCUGCUGGUGCCGUUCCAGUUUGAUUCUGAAGGCCUGAGAACCAGAACUGAUGGUAUGAGUUCUAGUCCAAGUCCACAGAAAUGAAACUGGAGAACCAAAGGUGUAAGUCGCAGUCUGAGGGCAGGAGAACACAAUAACCCAGCUCAAGCAAUUAGGCAGAGAGAAAGAAUUUUCUCUCCCUCCACUUUUUGUUGUUGUUGUUCUACUGAGGCCUUCAAUGGAUUGAAGGAGUUCCACUCAUUAAGUCAAUUAACUUCUGAAGUCUAUUAUUGUCAUUGCCUCCCCAGGUAGGGGAAAUGAGAAGCCUGGGGAUAUGGCUUACAGUGAAGUGUGGCUGGUCCUUUUUUAUUCUCUUGGCCAGGCUCCUUCCCUCUGCCAAGUUGCAGGUGGUCCAGGUGUUUGCUUCCAGAUGUUUAGCAAACAUCUGGUGGAAGGCAAAGAAGGAAAGAUUGCUUAGGGGGACUCUUGCUCCCGUUCCUACCUGCAUCUUCUGAGAGGUCUUCCCCCUUUACAUUCACCUCAGCUCAACAUUGGAAUCCCUGCUCUUUCACUGCACACACUGACCACCCACUGCAGGCUGGGGGUCCUAGAGGAUUUCACGUGCUAGGCUGUCCCAAAUAGAGGAGGUCCUGCUACAGCACCGGCACCAUUAGUCCUUUCUGGGCCGUGCUCUGUGAGCCCUUGAGAGGACAAGAAACCAAUGUCAAAGCCAUGGAAUGAUCCCAUUCAAUUCUCAUCAAGGAAUAGAGAAGACAUAAAAUUCAGCAAAUGGAGGAGCCCACUCAACAUGAAGAUGACAAGGAUGAAGACCUUUAUGAUGAUCCAUUCCCACUUACUGAAUAAAAGCCUCCUGUGUCCUGCAGAGAAGACCUGCUCAGAUUUUUAU